rnacentral:rRNA from 1 species
GGUUAAGCGACUAAGCGUACACGGUGGAUGCCCUGGCAGUCAGAGGCGAUGAAGGACGUGCUAAUCUGCGAAAAGCGCCGGCGAGGUGAUAUGAACCUUUGACCCGGCGAUGUCCGAAUGGAAACCCAGUGCAACUCGUUGCACUAUCGUUAACUGAAUACAUAGGUUAACGAGGCGAACCGGGGGAACUGAAACAUCUAAGUACCCCGAGGAAAAGAAAUCAACCGAGAUUCCCCCAGUAGCGGCGAGCGAACGGGGAGCAGCCCAGAGUCUGAAUCAGCUUGUGUGUUAGUGGAAGCGUCUGGAAAGUCGCACGGUACAGGGUGAAAGUCCCGUACACGAAAACACACUUGCUGUGAACUCGAAGAGUAGGGCGGGACACGUGGUAUCCUGUCUGAAUAUGGGGGGACCAUCCUCCAAGGCUAAAUACUCCUGACUGACCGAUAGUGAACCAGUACCGUGAGGGAAAGGCGAAAAGAACCCCGGCGAGGGGAGUGAAAAAGAACCUGAAACCGUGUACGUACAAGCAGUGGGAGCACCCUAGUGGUGUGACUGCGUACCUUUUGUAUAAUGGGUCAGCGACUUAUAUUCUGUAGCAAGGUUAACCGUAUAGGGGAGCCGAAGGGAAACCGAGUCUUAACUGGGCGUUAAGUUGCAGGGUAUAGACCCGAAACCCGGUGAUCUAGCCAUGGGCAGGUUGAAGGUUGGGUAACACUAACUGGAGGACCGAACCGACUAAUGUUGAAAAAUUAGCGGAUGACCUGUGGCUGGGGGUGAAAGGCCAAUCAAACCGGGAGAUAGCUGGUUCUCCCCGAAAGCUAUUUAGGUAGCGCCUCGUGAACUCAUCUUCGGGGGUAGAGCACUGUUUCGGCUAGGGGGCCAUCCCGGCUUACCAACCCGAUGCAAACUACGAAUACCGAAGAAUGUUAUCACGGGAGACACACGGCGGGUGCUAACGUCCGUCGUGAAGAGGGAAACAACCCAGACCGCCAGCUAAGGUCCCAAAGUCAUGGUUAAGUGGGAAACGAUGUGGGAAGGCACAGACAGCCAGGAUGUUGGCUUAGAAGCAGCCAUCAUUUAAAGAAAGCGUAAUAGCUCACUGGUCGAGUCGGCCUGCGCGGAAGAUGUAACAGGGCUAAACCAUGCACCGAAGCUGCGGCAGCGACACUUAGGUGUUGUUGGGUAGGGAGCGUUCUGUAAGCCGUUGAAGGUGUGCUGUGAGGCAUGCUGGAGGUAUCAGAAGUGCGAAUGCUGACAUAAGUAACGAUAAAGCGGGUGAAAAGCCCGCUCGCCGGAAGACCAAGGGUUCCUGUCCAACGUUAAUCGGGGCAGGGUGAGUCGACCCCUAAGGCGAGGCCGAAAGGCGUAGUCGAUGGGAAACAGGUUAAUAUUCCUGUACUUGGUGUUACUGCGAAGGGGGGACGGAGAAGGCUAUGUUAGCCGGGCGACGGUUGUCCCGGUUUAAGCAUGUAGGCGGAGGUUCCAGGUAAAUCCGGUUCCUUUUUAACGCUGAGGUGUGAUGACGAGGCACUACGGUGCUGAAGUAACAAAUGCCCUGCUUCCAGGAAAAGCCUCUAAGCAUCAGGUAACACGAAAUCGUACCCCAAACCGACACAGGUGGUCAGGUAGAGAAUACCAAGGCGCUUGAGAGAACUCGGGUGAAGGAACUAGGCAAAAUGGUGCCGUAACUUCGGGAGAAGGCACGCUGAUAUGUAGGUGAAGUCCCUGCGGAUGGAGCUGAAAUCAGUCGAAGAUACCAGCUGGCUGCAACUGUUUAUUAAAAACACAGCACUGUGCAAACACGAAAGUGGACGUAUACGGUGUGACGCCUGCCCGGUGCCGGAAGGUUAAUUGAUGGGGUUAGCGGCAACGCGAAGCUCUUGAUCGAAGCCCCGGUAAACGGCGGCCGUAACUAUAACGGUCCCUAAGGUAGCGAAAUUCCUUGUCGGGUAAGUUCCGACCUGCACGAAUGGCGUAAUGAUGGCCAGGCUGUCUCCACCCGAGACUCAGUGAAAUUGAACUCGCUGUGAAGAUGCAGUGUACCCGCGGCAAGACGGAAAGACCCCGUGAACCUUUACUAUAGCUUGACACUGAACACUGGUCCUUGAUGUGUAGGAUAGGUGGGAGGCUUUGAAGCGUGGACGCCAGUCUGCGUGGAGCCAUCCUUGAAAUACCACCCUUUAAUGGCUGGUGUUCUAACGUAGACCCGUAAUCCGGGUUGCGGACAGUGUCUGGUGGGUAGUUUGACUGGGGCGGUCUCCUCCUAAAGAGUAACGGAGGAGCACGAAGGUUAGCUAAUCCUGGUCGGACAUCAGGAGGUUAGUGCAAUGGCAUAAGCUAGCUUGACUGCGAGAGUGACGGCUCGAGCAGGUGCGAAAGCAGGUCAUAGUGAUCCGGUGGUUCUGAAUGGAAGGGCCAUCGCUCAACGGAUAAAAGGUACUCCGGGGAUAACAGGCUGAUACCGCCCAAGAGUUCAUAUCGACGGCGGUGUUUGGCACCUCGAUGUCGGCUCAUCACAUCCUGGGGCUGAAGUAGGUCCCAAGGGUAUGGCUGUUCGCCAUUUAAAGUGGUACGCGAGCUGGGUUUAGAACGUCGUGAGACAGUUCGGUCCCUAUCUGCCGUGGGCGCUGGAGAAUUGAGGGGGGCUGCUCCUAGUACGAGAGGACCGGAGUGGACGCAUCACUGGUGUUCGGGUUGUCAUGCCAAUGGCACUGCCCGGUAGCUAAAUGCGGAAGAGAUAAGUGCUGAAAGCAUCUAAGCACGAAACUUGCCCCGAGAUGAGUUCUCCUGACUCCCUGAGAGUCCUGAAGGAACGUUGAAGACUACGACGUUGAUAGGUCGGGUGUGUAAGCGUAGCGAUACGUUGAGCUAACCGAUACUAAUGAACCGUGAGGCUUAACCUU